AGCGCAAACGCUGGCGGCAGCCUAACACAUGCAAGUCGAGCGCUCAUCUUCGGAUGGGAGCGGCGCCAACGGGUGAGUAACACGUGGGAACCUACCUUGAAGUAUGGAAUAACUGAGGGAAACUUCAGUUCUAAUACCGUAUACGCCCUACGGGGGAAAGAUUUAUCGCUUCAAGACGGGCCCGCGUUGGAAAUUAGCUAGUUGGUGAGGUAAUGGCUCACCAAGGCGACGAUCCAUAGCUGAUUUGAGAGACAAUGAUCAGCCACACUGGGACUGAGACACGGCCCAGACUCCUACGGGAGGCAGCAGUGGGGAAAAUAUUGGACAAUGGGCGCAAGCCUGAUCCAGCCAUGCCGCGUGAGUGAUGAAGGCCUUCGAGGGUUGUAAAGCUCUUUCAGAUGGGACGAUGAUGACGGUACCAUCAGAAGAAGCCCCGGCGCUAACUUCGUGCCAGCAGCCGCGGUAAUACGAAGGGGGCUAGCGUUGUUCGGAAUUACUGGUAGCGUAAAGCGCGCGUAGGCGGCUUUGUCAGUCAGGGGUGAAAUCCCGGGGCUUAACCUCGACGAACUGCCUUUGAUACUGCAAGGCUUGAGUCUGUGAGAGGAUGGUGGAAUACCCAGUGUAAGGAGGUGAAAUUCGU
rnacentral:rRNA from 1 species